rnacentral:rRNA from 1 species
UGAACUUAAGCAUAUUAAUCAGCGGAGGAAAAGAAACUAACCAGGAUUCCCUCAGUAACUGCGAGUGAAGCGGGACCGGCUCAAUGUGUGAAUCUGGCUUGGGGUAGAUCCCUGGUCCGAGUUGUGCACUAUGGACGUUUCGUCUGCGUUUGUAAUGGCGGUGGAAGUCCGUUGAAACACGGCACCUCAGAGGGUCACAGUCCUGUACCACCUGCCUGCACUCGCGCCAAUGACAAGCGCUCCUCGAGUCGCGUAGUUUUGUAAUGCUGCGCCAAGUGGGAGGUAGAGACCUUCUAAGGCUAAAUAUGAUGACGUGACCGAUAGCACACAAGUACCGCGAGGGAAAGGUGAAAAGCAACCAUGAAAAAUGGGUUGAAACAGCAGUGAAAGCGCUACCGGGAUAAGGGCUAUCGGGUGCUGGGGCUUCUUGGGUGUGCUUCAGUGCUACCCUUGGAGACGGCCCGCGUGGGUUGAUGUUGGGGYGAUAGACGCGUCGUUGGAAUUCAGCUGUCUUUGGGCAGUGUUGUAGCCUUCGGUUGCCGAUCCUCCUGCGACCUUUUGUAAUUGCGGGUCUUGCGACCGUUAGCCGCCCGUCUUGAAACACGGACCAAGGAGUGCACCUUGCAUGCGAGUCGAAGGGAUUUGAAACCUGGAGGCGUAGCGAACGCGACGAUGGGGAAUGUCCUUGUGGCAGACACCCGCACCCGCCUUGUGCGAGGUAGAGCAUGUACGGUGCGACCCGAAAGAUGGUGAACUAUGCCCGGGUAAGGUGAAGCCAGUGGAAACGCUGGUGGAGGCCUGUAGCGAUUCUGACGUGCAAAUCGAUCGCGUAACCUGGGUAUAGGGGCGAAAGACCUAUCGAACCGUCUAAUGGCUGGUUCCCUCCGAAGUUUCCCUCAGGA